rnacentral:rRNA from 1 species
AGUGAACGCUGGCGGUAGGCCUAACACAUGCAAGUCGAACGGCAGCACAGGAGAGCUUGCUCUCUGGGUGGCGAGUGGCGGACGGGUGAGGAAUACAUCGGAAUCUACUCUGUCGUGGGGGAUAACGUAGGGAAACUUACGCUAAUACCGCAUACGACCUACGGGUGAAAGCAGGGGACCUUCGGGCCUUGCGCGAUUGAAUGAACCGAUGUCGGAUUAGCUAGUUGGCGGGGUAAAGGCCCACCAAGGCGACGAUCCGUAGCUGGUCUGAGAGGAUUAUCAGCGACACUGGAACUGAGACACGGUCCAGACUCCUACGGGAGGCCGCAGUGGGGAAUAUUGGACAAUGGGCGCAAGCCUGAUCCAGCCAUACCGCGUGGGUGAAGAAGGCCUUCGGGUUGUAAAGCCCUUUUGUUGGGAAAGAAAUCCAGCUGGCUAAUACCCGGUUGGGAUGACGGUACCCAAAGAAUAAGCACCGGCUAACUUCGUGCCAGCCGCCGCCGUAA